rnacentral:rRNA from 1 species
CGGGAGGUGCAAGCGUUGUUCGGAGUGACUGGGCGUAAAGCGUGCGUAGGUGGUUUGUUAAGUCUGAUGUGAAAGCCCUGGGCUCAACCUGGGAAUUGCAUUGGAUACUGGCAGGCUAGAGUGCGGUAGAGGGUAGUGGAAUUCCCGGUGUAGCAGUGAAAUGCGUAGAUAUCGGGAGGAACACCAGUGGCGAAGGCGACUACCUGGACCAGCACUGACACUGAGGCACGAAAGCGUGGGGAGCAAACAGGAUUAGAUACCCUGGUAGUCCACGCCCUAAACGAUGCGAACUGGAUGUUGGGAGCAACUAGGCUCUCAGUAUCGAAGCUAACGCGUUAAGUUCGCCGCCUGGGGAGUACGGUCGCAAGACUG